GUAGUAUUCCCUCCGUCCGAAAAUACUUGUCAUCAAAAUGGUCAAAAAGGGAUGUAUCUAAAACUAAAAUACAUCUACAUACAUCCCCUUCCAUUCAUUUUGAUGACAAGUAUUUCCGGACGGAGGGAGUACUAA
rnacentral:pre_miRNA from 1 species